GGGAUUGCCCCAGUAACGGCGAGUGAAGCGGCAAGAGCUCAAAUUUGAAAUCUGGCCUCCUCCGGGGGUCCGAGUUGUAAUUUGUAGAGGAUGCUUCGGGUGCGGCCGCCGUCUAAGUUCCUUGGAACAGGACGUCAGAGAGGGUGAGAAUCCCGUCUUGGGCGGCCGGCGCGCGCCCGUGUGAAGCUCCUUCGACGAGUCGAGUUGUUUGGGAAUGCAGCUCUAAGCGGGUGGUAAAUUUCAUCUAAAGCUAAAUACUGGCCGGAGACCGAUAGCGCACAAGUAGAGUGAUCGAAAGGUUAAAAGCACCUUGAAAAGGGAGUUAAACAGCACGUGAAAUUGUUGAAAGGGAAGCGCUUGCGGCCAGACUCGGGGGGCGGGGUUCAGCGGGCGCUCGUCGCCCGUGCACUCCCCGCGUUCCCGGGCCAGCAUCAGUUUCGACGGCCGGUCAAAGGCCCCCGGAAUGUGUCGUCUCUAGGGACGUCUUAUAGCCGGGGGUGCAAUGCGGCCCGUCGGGACUGAGGAACGCGCUCCGGCUCGGAUGCUGGCG
rnacentral:rRNA from 1 species